GUUGGUGAACCAGCGGAGGGAUCAUUGAAGAGUUGCAAGACCUUACACCACUGCGAACUUACCACUACGUUGCCUCGGUGGGCGGCUCCAGGGCGGAGUCUCCGGCCCCUCUCGGGGGGGUGCCCGCCGUUGGCCCCUAUACCUUGUUGUUUCUAAGCCCUCUCAGUACCUGUAUAAGCAGUGAAAACUUUCAACAAUGGAUCUCUUGGCUCUG
rnacentral:misc_RNA from 1 species